AUUGUUUCAGAUGGUAAUCCAAUGUAUAAGCAAUGGACUGUUUUAUUCUUGGUGCUUUCAAGACCUGAUGCUUUGUUUUGAACAGGUUGAUACAUCUAGUAAGAAGACUUUCACCAGGUGCUGGUGCCAUGUUCUUGGACUUCCCAGUCUCCCAAACCAUAAGCCAAGAGUGAAAUACAUCACCACUUUCCCUGCUCCCGCCGCCAUUAAAAUUGUGUUUGGCAUCUGACCACCAAGAUACAGAUAUUUCCUAGACUGUUUUGCAGCUAGGUACUUAGCAUUUCUCUUUCCUCUGGAGAAAAAUAUCUGCUUUCUUUAAAAUAAAUGUUCCAUCCAUGCAGCUAAGCAGCUAAGGACACGAACAGCCACUGAUACAGGUCAACUCAUCAGUAGAUUAUUGAGGAAUCAUUCUCUUCAGUCAGAUCACGAUUUGAGUUUGAACUAACCAGAGAGUAGCAGAAGGAACGUUUUCUCAUUUCCAUGUCCAGAAAGAUAUAUUCCUGCUACCCUCCUGAAGUCAGAGGAUGAAAUCAUAGUCAAUACAUCUUUGCAGAUAAACUAUUAGAUUUCAUACUAGGACCUUUCAUUGGCUGAACAAAGACAAAGACAGAAAUCAAGGAAGGUCAAAGAAGCAGUCAGUUUUCUGGCACCCAAAGUUGUUGGAGAAGGGUACAGAGUCGGUAAAUAAGUCAUAUGACAGACAGGCAGUAUUUUCUUAUUUUAAUAACAAGUUUAAAAAUCCCACUUCUUGUACUUACCUUCUGUCUGACGCCAUCAGUAUUUUAAGAUGCCAACUGGGAUCAAGUUCAACACUGCAUUACUGAAGAAUCCAGAUUAUCUACAUUUCACGUGCCAAAUGAAAGAAAGAACCCAGAAAAUAAAACAAUAUGAUGAUAACAGUAAAAUUUUUAAAAAUGAAGUUUAUGGUCUAAAUCCUGAUCAUUAAUGGUUAUUUCAUAUUGAAGCAAUGAGGCCUGUUCUUCAUUCUGAACAUAGGGUAAAGGUGAAAUCUAUUCACAUAUUUAUUUAUUUAGCCAAUUUAUACAUAUAGUGAAUUUUAAUUAUAACUUAAUAG